rnacentral:rRNA from 1 species
UACGAACUGUGCAAACGUUAUUCGGAAUCACUGGGCGUAAAGGGCGCGUAGGCGGCCUGAUAAGUAGGGGGUGAAAUCCUGCGGCUUAACCGCAGGGCUGCCUUCUAAACUGUCAGGCUGGAGCACAGUAGAGGCAGGUGGAAUUCCCGGUGUAGCGGUGGAAUGCGUAGAGAUCGGGAAGAACAUCAGUGGCGAAGGCGGCCUGCUGGGCUGUUGCUGACGCUGAGGCGCGACAGCGUGGGGAGC